AAACAGAUAGCUUGUAUAUUCCCCUAUCCACUGAAAAAAUUGAAUUUACGGUUAAAGUUUUCCCACAAUGAAAGCUUUGGGCCCAGAUGCCUUCACUGGUUUGGUAUCAGAGUCAUAAUGGCCUCCUAAACGAAAUUGGGAGAGUGUACUUACAUUUUCUGUUUUUUGAAGGAGCUGUGUUAUUUAUUUCUUCAAGUUUAAUAUAGUAUGCUAUUGAAGUCACCUGAGCACAAAGUUUUCUGUUGCCCUAGAAUGGUGACAGGGAAGAAAAAGUAUCAAGAACACUACAGAUAAUAGUCUCUGUGACUGAGGAUUUGAAGGCAAAAGAGCCAUUUUUACAUAGAGCCCUGAGAGAAUAUUAUCUGAGACAGACAGCUUCCUCUUCCAGGCCUUCUUGUUCUUGCCUUGUGGCAAUAGCUUUGGGGCUUCUGACUGCAGUUCUUGUGAGUGUGCUGCUAUACC
rnacentral:sRNA from 1 species